rnacentral:rRNA from 1 species
UACGUAGGGGGCAAGCGUUGUCCGGAUUUAUUGGGCGUAAAGAGCGUGUAGGCGGCUUGACAAGUCUGCUGUGAAAACUUGAGGCUCAACCUCAAGCUGUCGGCGGAAACUGUCAGGCUAGAGUCCGGAAGAGGAGAGUGGAAUUCCUGGUGUAGCGGUGAAAUGCGCAGAUAUCAGUAAGAACACCUAUGGCGAAGGCAGCUCUCUGGGACGGUACUGACGCUGAGACGCGAAAGCGUGGGGAGCGAACAGG